rnacentral:lncRNA from 13 species
AUGAACCGGUUGUGGAUUGCAGUUUUAGUGGUUUUAACCAUUGCAGUUGUACGAAUGUGUGACUGUCGGAAGGACUCAACAGGUGGUGGACAGGAGAUGUGGGAUCAGCUCCGGGCGCGAGCUAGGGGGCAAGGUCACUCCGCAGGGGGAGCGAACGACGCUGACCCCGCCAGACCAUCCAGAGAAAGCUCGCACAGGUCCUCUCACAAUGUAUCGCCCUCCGGUCGCGGGGCUCCUGUGAGCUCAUUAUAUCAACGAGAUAACAGGCACGCGACGGUAAUUAAACCAGUUCCAGCUCCCAUUACAGAAGCUUCCCACCGGGCGGACGAUUCCACCGUUGCACAAGAUGCUGCGCGCAGAGCCGCAAGACAGCUCGGCACCCAUCACUCAUCACAGUACAGACCCCGAAUAAUUUACAGACAGAGCAACAAACCCAGCUCCACGCACACCAGGCGCCUUGCAGGGCCUAAUGUAUGUGGAGGUCACCAGUGCUGCUCUGGAUGGGCUGUGGCUUCUGGGACCAAGCGCUGUAUAAAGCGUAAGUAUUCAUAUCUGCCCUUAGGUAAACAAUCAUUCAUGACUGUCUCUUGACCAUCUCUCUCAAUCAUGUCUCAAGUUGUUAACUGCUCAUUCUCAGGCUUGGCCCUGGGUAUGAAACACACCAAAUCCAAUGCCUACGAACUGUGUAAGAAUAUAGUGUCAGAUGGUAUUACGAGUGUGUCAAUAUUCCCUCCAUGGUCAUGUUAUUCAUGUGGAUUUGCAUGUAGAGUUUUAACAUGUAAAUUACCAGUGCUUAGCAUUUGGCUCGCUCUGUUGGACGCAAGGGCUUCAUUUAGGGUGUAACUGCACUAUUUUUACCACAGAAAUAUUGGAUCUUAACUGCCGCAUAAAAGUCAAUGGCAGAUACUGGGGGGGAGUGAAUAAUUGCCCACUUUUUAAAACACAAUUUCGGCAGAAUUUUAACAGCUUACAAGUGUUACCAAGCUUUUCAUUGUAACAUUCUUGACAUCUGCCUUUUUACUGUUCUGUGGGUUGUUAAGUGCUCUGUAUGCUUCCUAGUAGGGGCAGCAGCCUUAAAGAAUCUAUUUUGUUGAGAGAGGAUUGUGACCUACAAACCAGCUCCUGGUUGCAAAUAUUAUUCUACAGCCUACCAAAACAUUUUGAGAAUGUUUUUCCUUUUAUUUGUGUCUGUCAUCAUGUUGCAGACUUAAAUAUCAGGAUUUAUAUGAGAAGCUGUUUAAUAGAGAGUUAUCUUUAAGCUUUACAAGCACAGAAUGUGAAACCCUCACAACCUGCAUUUCUAGGCUGAAACAGUUCCCACAAAGACAAGACAGCAGUACACACACACAUACACUGUCCCAAACUACAGAAGCUGAUGUUGUUUGCCUAUCAACUCAGUCAAUAAAGUCACCUCAUCCGAUUACAAAGCAAGCUCAUUAGCCAGCCUCCUCAUUAUCCCUCUCUCCCUCCCACCUCUGGUUCUGCCUCUUUUUCUCAAGCCAGCCAAAGGCACACUUACAGAGGUGUCAAUUACUUAGGUUACUUAGAAAGUAACUUGUCCCUUCUAAACCAUUCAUGUUAAACACAGUACUGUAGACCAUCUAAGAAGGUCUCCAUCCCACUACCAUCUGGUAUCUGUUAGUAGUUUGGCCCUCACCCAGGUGUGGCUGGAGGGUAGGGUACUAUCAGCUGUGUAGUGAACCCCACACCACGACCCCGGGUCGGGCCCUGGCCUGGUGCUAACACAAGGACCCCCCUUAAUGGAGAACCUCCUCCGUGGUGGUGGAAACCCCUCACUAACUAUCACAUUCUCGGAGUGUGUUACUGCAGACCCUAACAGGGCAGCAGUAGUUGGGGGCGGCCGCAUGAGAAAACAUUUGAACUAACCCUGGGGGAAAGAAAAGGAUGUCAACUGGGCCAUAAGUAAAAACAUAUCCUCACUGAGCCACGUCGAGAAAAUUCUAUGUGAAGAAUUUGAAGUGGUAAGUUUCACCUGGGAAAGCGGAUUUGGGACUGUGACUUUGGUGUCUUGUUGUGGUUUCUCAACAAUACAUGCUUGUUGAAUCAGGUUGAAGUCACAGCAAACACUGUACAUGGCAGGAGUUAGCUUAUUAGUUGUCCAGUUAGAAUGCCAACAAGGAUUUUUAUUUUUAUUUUUUAUUGAUUUUAAAUUUAACCCAUUUUUCUCCCCAAUUUCGUGAUAUCCAAUUGUUUAGUAGCUACUAUCUUGUCUCAUCGCUACAACUCCCGUAUGGGCUCGGGAGAGACGAAGGUUGAAAGUCAUGGGUCCUCCGAUACACAACCCAACCAAGCCGCACUGCUUCUUAACACAGCGCGCAUUCAACCAGGAAGCCAGCCGCACCAAUGUGUCGGAGGAAACACUGUGCACCUGGCAACCUUGGUUAGCGCGCACUGUACAGUUGAAGUCGGAAGUUUACAUACACUUGUGUGAAGAGUAUGAAGGAAUGUGAAGGAAUGUGUGUGGUGUCAAUAUGCGUGUGUGUGUGUGUGUCAGUGUGUGUGUGGUUAGAGUCCAGUGAGUGUACAUGGAGCUUGUGCAAGAGAGUCAGUGCAACAAAGAAUAAUACAGUUGAAGUCAGAAGUUUACAUACACUUAUACCCUGACUACACCGCUCGCGUCUUGUGCGCGAGCGUUGCAAAAUAAAUGUAGGAAUCUGUAUUAUUCAAUUAUUGCACCCCCACUGCUCACACGCGUCAACGAGCAUCUGCGUUGCCAAGGGCUAAAAUGGAAGCCAGUCCUAUUUUUGAUGCAGAUCACGCUGCAAGUCCUGCCUCUCCCAUCUCCUCAUUGGUUUAUAGAAGCAGGUACCCACGUGCCAUCUCCUCAUUGGUUAUACCCACGUGGGUGAUUGAAAGACGAACUGUUUUGCCGGUUGUCGUGGUAAUACAAUGAAAGUGUAGAUGCCAAUCACCAUAUAAGUUCAAAGAUGAAAAAGAUUGGAAGGAGGAGAGAUGACGAGAAACUAUUCGGUUGACCGUUUUAUGUGUGGAUUAAUUGUCGGAGUAGAGGACCUUGUGCAUUUCAGGUUAAGUAACAAUUCAAUGUUUAUAUCUCAGGACAAAUUUGCUAGCAACAGCAAGCUAGCUAAAUAGGACAAAUUAGCUAGCAAGUGCAUGCUAACUAGCUAAAUUGCCAUACAUUUUUAAUGCUUUUCGACCUGUCCCCAAAGUAAUGUAAUUGGUUCAGAGUUUGUUUUGAUAUUUUAGCCUACGUGUCGUGAUCGCGUUUGGUGUAGAGCACAUAUGUCAGAGUCAAGGCCCGCGGGCCACAUCCGGCCCGCAAGAAGGUUUUUUACGGCCCCUGGGAUGAUCUUGAUUUAUUAUUAGAACCGGCCCGCAGCAAGCCGGCAGCCCGCAGAUCUUUUACACGCACCAAUACUACAUUUCCCACAAUGCAAAGGUGACGCACCGAGCAGUAGGCUGCUUCAUUUCAAUAUUUAUUGGCACAGCAGUCGUCAGCAUCACAGUAAAAUUAACUUUCAGAUACCCAUCAAAAAUGGCAAAACGGAAGGUGGAUACUGAGAACCGGGGGUUUCAAACAAGGUGGGAGUCGGAGUAUAUGUUCACGAAGGUAGCUGGAAAACCUGUGUGUCUUCUGUGUGGAGAAAGUGUGGCGGUACUGAAAGAGUAUAAUCUGAGACGACAUUAUGAAACGAAACACGCGGACAAAAACAAGAAUAUGGACAUGGAACAAAGGCUACAAAAGGNNNNNNNNNNUUUACGGCCCCUGGGAUGAUCUUGAUUUAUUAUUAGAACCGGCCCGCAGCAAGCCGGCAGCCCGCAGAUCUUUUACACGCACCAAUACUACAUUUCCCACAAUGCAAAGGUGACGCACCGAGCAGUAGGCUGCUUCAUUUCAAUAUUUAUUGGCACAGCAGUCGUCAGCAUCACAGUAAAAUUAACUUUCAGAUACCCAUCAAAAAUGGCAAAACGGAAGGUGGAUACUGAGAACCGGGGGUUUCAAACAAGGUGGGAGUCGGAGUAUAUGUUCACGAAGGUAGCUGGAAAACCUGUGUGUCUUCUGUGUGGAGAAAGUGUGGCGGUACUGAAAGAGUAUAAUCUGAGACGACAUUAUGAAACGAAACACUCGGACAAAAACAAGAAUAUGGACAUGGAACAAAGGCUACAAAAGGCAGAGGAAUUAAAACGAGGCCUCAAAUCUCGACAGGCUCUGUUCAAAAAAGCCAAAUCACAAGGCCAGGCUGCUGUCAAGGCCAGUUUUAUUUUGGCAGAAGAGAUCGCUAAAUCAGCCCGGCCAUUUACGGAGGGGGAUUUCAUCAAAAACUGCAUGAUUAAAGUUUGUGACGAAGUUUGCCCAGAAAAAAGGCAACUCUUUUUAAAUGUGAGUCUGAGCAGAAACACCAUUGCCGAGAGAGUAGACCAGUUGUCCAUCAAUCUAAAA